rnacentral:lncRNA from 10 species
UAUCUUUGUACAGAUCCUUUUUAUUCAGAUUUAUAUAGGCAAUUUACCAACACAGAAAACCAGUCUAGCAGCUCCAAAGUAACUGUAAAAACGGUGGUGCUGACGGUGGUGUGCCCCACACAGGGCAGGUGACCUCAGACGUGGAGCAGCAUCUCCCGUGGGAUACUAUUUCAGACGUGCACUAGUGAGUGUAUACUGAGAAGGGAUUAUAAACCUUCCCUGGCACAACAGAUACAAAAAGAGAUAGAACCAAUGAUAUUUUGUCUAGGUACAAUAUCUAGAUUUACAGUAUCUAGUUUACUGGCUUCACUUCGUAUAGCAAUGCACAAUAGAAAACGGAUUUCUUUCUUCAAGGGUAUUCAAGAAUAUAGUAAAUAUGUUACUAUAUUGAUGGCUAUGAAAACAGACAGAGACAAAUGAGUGAGGAGGCACGUUCUCUCACAGAGACAGGACUUCAUUCUAUUUCACAUAAAUCAUUAAGGGUCCAUUCAAAUAUAAGACCUCUCACAAAGUUUCAGUCAUGUAUGAGGGCGCUUACCUUUAAGACCCCAUUUCAAAACCAUUUUGAAAUAGUGAAGGGGGGAAAAAGUCACACUCAAAUGUGCUACUCUUAAAAGCAGUGUUUCUAAGCACAGCUUGCCUUUUUCAAAGAGUGAAGGUGGCCUUUCUGUUUAGUGGUUAGGUAAUUGGGUGCAAUAAUCAAAUCUUAAGGCAAUGGCAAGGCUGAUGGUGGGGAUUUGGCACAAUAAGGGGAAGGAAUGAUGCUGUCCAGUUGUACCUUAAAUCCUAAAGGAUUACUAAUGACAUGGGAGGGAUAGCUACCUGCCCCACACACAGGGGCUCCUGGACAAUACCGUGGCUUUAGAAACAAACCUAGGUUCUGAGGGAAUGACACUGCAAAGUCUUACAGAAAUCCUUUUAUGAGAUAGCCAGUCCAGAAUAAAGCCUUUGCGGUACUUGUCAACAAGCAAGAAGCCUUCUGAAGAGGUAGAUGAAAGCAGUAUUUCACAGCAGGUGUGCUGCCCGACGUGACGAAAGACAUGCAUGCGCCUCUCAGCACAGACCAGAAGAUCAACUGUUGUUGAAAACAGUCCAUGGUGGUGAGAAGAGAUGUCGGCCACAUUACUAGGUGCAUUAUUUCAAUUUUAUUGUAUUAAGAACAGGAAGGACUGCCAUUUCUUUAAAUAACAAACUAUACAAAUAAAAAGGAGCAGAAAUAAUAUGGAAUGUUUUUGACGAAAACAAACUUAUGGAUUCAAUAAAUAAUAUAAAAUGCCUUUGUGCUAAAAUAGAACUCUUGUUUCUUAUAUAUAUAUAGUUCAGUGAUCUUUAUGCUAUCCAGAAAAAGCCAGAUCUAUUAUAAUUAAACAUAGAAAAAUACCAUUUAACAAUAAAACUAAAAAAAUGGCCAGUGUUGAGCUUAUAAACCACAUAUAAUAUAUACAUCAUUUAAUAUAAUCAACUAAGAAAGUAAAUUUCAAGUUCUUUGUAAUACAAAUACACAAUUGAAAAUAUUUCUCCAUUCCCUACCCUUACAUCAAAGACAUCUGAUAUUUAGGACAAAAUUAAAAAUGGAAGCAUAGUUACCAGUUUUCAGAGAUGAUUCUGAGAUUGUUAGAUACUGGAGCGCUAACUCUACUAUACAAAGCUGAGUUAUUUAACUCUAAAUUGAAGGAUUUUUUCCCCUAUAUGUGUUUGAUGAAAUGCGUAUACUCUUAACCCAUUUUCUGUAGUUUGUGUUUUUAAUAAAGGCAAUUUAAAAUUUGGGAGCCUGCGUUUCUCAAUCAGUGCUAACACAGCCAGGUCAGAAAGACAGCCCCUUUGGGCCAGCUGUGGGGGCCUGCAGGAGUGGUUAUCUCUGUGAUUCGGCUGAAAUAAAACAACUAUCUUAGUCCUUAAGGACAAAGAAAAUAUAAAGUUCAUUGUGACUUGAGGAAGCCAAGGAGUACCAUUUUAGAGUUCAAAUUUCAUUUGUUUCAUAAUAAACUUUGUUAAAAUGUGACCUGGAUUAAAAAAAAAUCAUAUUAACAUGAAUUUAAGUAAUUCAAGUCUCUCCAGUAAACUUUACAUAGGAGGGAAAAAUCAUGUUAAAUCUUUAGGAAAAAAUUUAAACGGUUAAUUACUUAAAAAAAUUUUUUUUGUAGAGAUGGGGUCUUGCUGUGUUGCCCAGGCUGGUAACUCACCGUGGAAGUGAGCAGGGUAGAACAGAAGAGGCCUGUUACUCUUGACAGUUUUACCAGGACUUCAGUGGAUUUGUAACAGUGUCCCCAACUGACCAAUGGGGCAAUGCAUUCACAGUGAUCCAGACACUGCCUCUCCACCUCGGGGGCUGCAAAGUGCACACACACACACACACACACACACACACACACACACACACACACGGGGUGUUUUGGAGAUGGCCUGGUAAUGCUUUAGCUCUGGGUCCCCUGUGCCUCCAUGGGAGGGUGCCAGAGGGUAGACAGAAUAUGUGGCAAUGCUUAGGGCAAUCUGUUACCCAACACUGAACAUCUUUAAAUUCCAUUCUGGGGAGUCUAAGAUGUGUUUGAUAUCAGACAUAAAAAUUUACGUGAUAAGUAGGAGUCACUUCAAGUUCUAGGUUCAUAGGUACCAAAGUGUGUAGCAAAGAAAAAGAACUUUUAUUUCUUCAGUAGUUUCUAAUGCAGACAAAUGUGACAAGGCAGGGAGCUGAGCUGACCCCAAGCCGAAGGGUCCCGACUCCUCUCGG